rnacentral:tmRNA from 1 species
GGGGCCGAUCGGUUUCGACACGUCGUUGUGAAACCGUGGGAAGCGGGUCGAGGAUGCGAAGUUAUCUCGUAAACGCUCUUCGCAAAACAUAGGUGCAAACGCUAAGCGCACCGACUUCGCUCUCGCCGCCUAAGGCAGAGUAGAAAGUCCGUCAGACCGGGUGUGCCCCUGCCCCGGAUUCUGGCGUCAUUAAGGGGGCUUGCUCACGCACUGUGUCUCAGGGUGUGUGGGGACUUUUUCUGUGGCUGGGCCUGUCGUCCUAGAUGUUCGUGACAAAGGACGGGGCCGAGUAGAACGUUUCCACGAACUACACCCGUAGAAGACACGGAAUUGCCGAAGUGGACCGGGGUUCAAUUCCCCGCGGCUCCACGA